GGCUGGAGUGCAGUGGCGCGACCUCAGCUCACUGCAAGCUCCGCCUCCCGGGUUCACGCCAUUUUCCUGCGUCGGCCUCCGAGUAGCUGGGACUACCGGCGCCCGCCACCACGCCCGGCUAAUUUUUUGUAUUUUUAGUAGAGACGGGGUUUCACCGUGUUAGCCAGGAUGGUCUCGAUCUCCUGACCUCGUGAUCCGCCCGCUUCGGCCUCCCAAUAAAUCAUGAGUGACUGCAGAUCUUUGUGACUGUGUCAAUCAACCAAGAAUGGAGGAAGCUUCACUUUGAGACUUACGAGGCUGGGUUGUACAGACGCCACACACUUCUGUCUUAUUUUCUUGGGAUGCUUGUUCCUGAAAUUCAGCCACUGUGCUGCAAGGAAACUAACCAGGAGACUUCAUGCCUCGGUGUCCCAGAUGACAACCUUUGUUGACCCCCAGACAGAUGUGCAUGAAAUUUGGUGCCGUGACUCGGAUUGGGGGACCUCCCUUGGGAGAUCAAUCCCUUGUCCUCCUGCUCUUUGCUCCAUGAGAAAGAUCCACCUACGACCUCGGGUCCUCAGACCAACCAGCCCAAGGAACAUCUCACCAAUUUUAAAUCGCGUAAGUGGCCUCUUUUUGCUCUCUUCUCCAACCUCUCACUAUCCCUCAACCUCUUUCUCCUUUCAACCUUGCCGCCAUCCUUCAAUCUCUCCUUUCUCUUAAUUUCAGUUCCUUUCCUUUUAUGGUAGAGACAGAGGAGACACAUUUUAUCCAUGAACCCAAAACUCCGGCGCUGGUAACGGACUCGGGAAGACAGUCUUCCCUUGGUGUUUAAUCACUGCGGGGACGCCUGCUUGAUUAUUCACCCAUGUUUCAGAGGUGUCUGAUCACUGCGGGGAUGCCUGCCUUGAUCCUUCACCCUUAGUGGCAAGCACCACUUUCCUGGGGCACAAGCACCCACCAACCCUUCUCUCUGUGUCUCUACCCUCUCUUUUCUCUGGGCUUGCAUCCUUCACUCUAGGCAACCUUCCACCCUCCAUUCUUCCUUCUUCUCCCUUAGCCUGUGUUCUCAAGAACUUAAAACCUCUUCAACUUACACCUGACCUAAAACCUAAAUGCCUUAUUUUGUUCUGCAAUGCUGCUUAACCCCAAUACAAACUCAACAAUGGUUCCAAAUAGCCAGAAAAUGGCACUUUCGAUUUUCCCAUCCUACAAGAUCUAGAUAAUUCUUGUCAUAAAAUGGGCAAAUGGUCUGAGAUGCCUGACGUCCAGGCAUUCUUUUACACAUCAGUCCCUCCCUAGUCUCUGUUCCCAAUGGAACUCGUCCCAAAUAUUCCUUUUUCCCCUCCUGCCUGUCCCCUCAGUCCCAACCCUAAGCGUUGCUAAGUCUUCCCAAACUUCCUUUUCUAUGGACCCAUCUGACCUCUCCCCUCCUCCCCAGGCUGCUCCUUGCUAGGCCGAGCCAGGUCCCAAUUCUUCCUCAGCCUCUGCUCCCCCACCCUAUAAUCCUUUUAUCACCUCCCCUCCUCACACCUGGUCCAGCUUACAGUUUCGUUCCAUGGCUAGCCCUCCCCGACCUGCCCAACAAUUUCAUCUUAAAGAGGUGGCUGGAGCUAAAGGCACAGUCAAGGUUAAUGCUCCUUUUUCUUUAUCUGACUUCUCCCAUAUCAGUUAGCAUUUAGGCUCUUUUUUAUCAAAUAUAAAAACUCAGCCCAGCUCAUGGCCUGUUUGGCAACAAUCCUGAGAUGCUUUACAGCCCUAGACCCUGAAGGGUCAGAAGGCCGUCUUAUUCUCAAUAUGCAUGUUAUUACCCAAUCCACUCCCAACAUUAAAUAAAGCUCCAAAAAUUAAAUUCUGGCCCUCAAACCCCACAACAGGACUUAAUUAACCUUGCCUUCAAGGUGUACAAUAAUAGAGAAGAGUUGCAAUUACCUGCCUCUGCUGUGAGAGGAACCCUAGCCACAUCUCUAGCACACAAGAACUUCAAAACGCCUAAGCCACAGUGGUCAGGCAUUCCUUCAGGACCUCCUCCCCCAAGACCUUGCUUUAAGUGCUGGAAAUCUGGCCACUGGGCCAAGGAAUGCCUGCAGCCCAGGAUUCCUCUUAAGCCAUAUCCCAUCUGUGAGGGACCCCACUGGAAAUUGGACAGUCCAGCUUGCCUGGCAGCCACUCCCAGAGCCCCUGGAACUCUAGCCCAAGGCUCUCUGACUCCUUCCCAGAUCUUCUCGGCUUAGCGGCUGAAGACUGACGCUGCCCAAUUGCCUCAGAAGCCCCCUGGACCAUCACAGAUGCUUUCAGUAACUCUUACAGUGGAAGGUAAGUCCAUCCCCUUCUUAAUCAAUAUGGAGGCUACCAACUCCACAUUACCUUCUUUUCAAGGGCCUAUUUCCUUUGCCUCCAUAACUGUUGUGGGUAUUGAUGGCCAGGCUUCUAAACCUCUUAAAACUCCCCAACUCUGGUGCCAACUUGGACAACAUUCUUUUAUGCGCUCCUUUUUAGUUAUCCCCACCUGCCUAGCUCUCUUAUUAGGUAGAGACAUUUUAACUAAAUUAUCUGCUUCCCUAUUCCUAGGCUACAGCCACACCUCAUUGCCACCCUUUUCCCCAGUUCAAAGCCUCCUUCACAUCCUCCCCUUGUAUCUCCCCACCUUAAUCCACAAGUAUGGGACACCUCUACUCCCUCCUUAGCAACCGAUCAUGCGCCCCUUACCAUCCCAUUAAAACCUAAUCACCCUUACCCCGCUCAACACCAAUAUCCCAUCCCACAGUACGCUUUAAAAGGAUUAAAGCCUGUUAUCACUUGCCUGUUACAGCAUGGCCUUUUAAAGCCUAUAAACUCUCCUUACAAUUCCCCCAUUUUACCUGUCCAAAAACCAGACGAGUCUUACAAGUUAGUUCAGGAUCUGCAUCUUAUCAACCAAAUUGUUUUGCCUAUCCACCUCAUGGUGCCAAACCCAUAUACUCUCCUAUCCUCAGUACCUCCCUCCACAACCCCUCCACAACCCAUUAUUCUGUUCUAGAUAAACCUAGCUGGCCCCAUAGAUCCUAAAUCCUUUCCCCACUCCCCCUUCCAUUCCUUAAAAAACAGCUCCCACACUAGCUCUCCCUAACUCAUCACUCCCUUUUCAUUACACACAGCCGAAGUGCAGGGCUGUGCGGUCAGAGUUCUUACACAAGAGCCAGGACCACACCCUGUAGCCUUUUUGUCCAAACAACUUGACCUUACUGUUUUAGCCUAGCCCUCAUAUCUGCGUGCAGCGGCUGCCACUGCUUUAAUACUUUUAGAGGCCCUCAAAAUCAAAAACUAUGCUCAACUCACUCUCUACAGUUCUCAUAACUUGCAAAAUCUAUUUUCUUCCUCACACCUGAUGCAUAUACUUUCUGCCCCCUUACACCACCUCUUAGCAAGCCGAACUCAUUGCCUUAACUCGAGCCCUCACUCUUGCAAAAGACUACAUGUCGAUAUUUAUACUGACUCUAAAUAUGCCUUUCAUAUCCUGCACCACCAUGCUGUUAUGUAGGCAAAAAGAAGUUUCCUCACUACAGAAGGGUCCUCCAUCAUUAAUGCCUCUUUAAUAAAAACUCUUCUCAAGGCCACUUUACUUCCAAAGGAAGCUGCAGUCAUUCACUGCAAGGGCCAUCAAAAGGCAUCAGAUCCCAUUGCUCAGGGAAACACUUCUGCUGACAAGGUAGCUAAGGCAGCAACUAGCUUCCAACUUCUGUCCCUCACUGUCAGUUUUUCUCCUUCUCAUCGGUCACUCCCAAAUACUCCCCCACUAAAACUUCCACUUAUCAAUCUCUUCCGACACAAAGCAAAUGGUUUUUGGACAAAGGAAAGUAUCUCCUUCCAGCCUCACGGGCCCAUUCUAUUCCGUCAUCAUUUCAUAACCUCUUCCAUGUAGGUUACAAGCCGCUAGCUGGCCUCUUAGAACCUCUCAUUUCCUUUCCAUCAUGGAAAUCUAUCCUCAAGAAAAUCACUUCUCAGUGUUCCAUCUGCUAUUCUACUCCUCCUCAGGGAUUGUUCAGGCCCCCUCCCUUCCCUACACAUCAAGCUCGGGGAUUUGCCCCUGCCCGGGACUGCUUACUUACUCACAUGCCCUGAGUCCGGAAACUAAAAUACCUCUUGGUCUGGGUAGACACUUUCACUGGAUGGGUAGAGGCCUUUCCCUCAGGGUCUGAGAAGGCCACUGCAGUCAUUUCUUCCCUUCUGUCAGACAUAAUUCCUCGGUUUGGCCUUCCCAUCUCUAUACAGUCUGAUAAUGGACCAGCCUUUACUAGUCAAAUCUCCCAAGCAGUUUCUCAGACUCUUGGUAUUCAGUGGAACCUUCAUACCCCUUACCGCCCUCAAUCUUCAAGAAAGGUAAAAUGGACUAAUGGUCUUUUAAAAACACACCUCACCUCACAGCCUCCAACUUAAAAAGGAGGACUCUGUUAAGGAUAGAACCCAAAAACUUGCCAACCAAGCAAGUAAUUACGCUGAACCCCCUUAGGCACUCUCUAAUUGGAUGUCCUGGGUCCUCCCGAUUCUUAGUCCUUUAAUACCUGUUUUCCUCCUUCUAUUAUUCGGACCUUGUGUCUUGUUUACUUUUUCAAUUCAUACAAAACCGCAUCCAGGCCAUCACCAAUCAUUCUAUACAACAAAUGUUUCUUCUAACAACCCCACAAUAUUAGCCCUUACCACAAAAUCUUCCUUCAGCUUAAUCUCUCCCACUCUAGGUUCACAUGCGGAACCUAACCCCGCUCAAAGCAGCCCUGGGAAACAUCGCCCAGUAUCUCUCCAUACCACCCCCAAAAAUGUUUGCCGCCCCAACACUUCAACAGUAUUUUGUUUUAUUUUUCAUAUUAACAGGAAUGUCAGGCCUCUGGGCCCAAGCCUGCGUGUAUACAUCCGGAUGGCCUGAAGUAACUGAAUGACAAAAGAAGUGAAAAUGGCCGGUUCCUGCCUUAACUGAUGACAUUACCUUGUGAAGUUCCUUCUCCUGGCUCAGAAACUCCCACACUGAGCACCUUGUGACCCCUGCCCCUGCCCACCAGAGAACAACUCCCUUUGACUGUAAUUUUUCCACUACCCACCCAAAUCCUAUAAAAUGGCCCUACCCCCAUCUCCCUUCACUGACUCUCUUUCUGGACUCAGCCCGCCUGCACCCAGGUGAUUAAAAAGCUUUAUUGCUCACACAAAGCCUGUUUGGUGGUCUCUUCACACAGAUGUGUGUGAAAAUUAGUACUGGAUUUUGGGUUUAUAUAGAUAAGUUAAAUGGUUUAUGUUAACGUGGUGGCUCACACCUGUAAUCCCAGCACUUUGGGAGGCCGAGGCGGGCAGAUCACCUGAGGUUGGGAGUUCGAGACCAGCCUGACCAACAUGGAGAAACCCCAUCUCUACUAAAAAUACAAAGUUAGCCGGGUGUGGUGGCGCAUGCCUGUAAUACCAGCUACUCGGGAGGCUGAGGCAGGAGAAUCGCGUGAACCCAGGAGGCAGAGGUUGUGGUAUGCCAAGAUCACACCAUUGCACUCCAGUCUGGGCAACAAGAAUGAAACUCUGUCUCAAAAAUAAGAAUAAUAAUAACAAUCUAAUACAUUUCUAUGAAGAUAUGAUUUAAAUUAGACUUGUAGUGAAAUCUGAGAUUUAAAUAGAAUCAAAUUAUGACUGAGAUUGACAUUUUAGUAUAAUCCUUUACUAUGUCUCCUUGGUACUCUUGAUCUAUGAUAAACUCUUCUAGAACUUUAGUCUUUGCUUUGGACUCCCAACACCUUGUUUAAUUGAAACGGAAUUCUUCCCUGAGGAUACUUCACUCCCUCUUGACUUUUCAUUCUGGUUAUUCCCUCAUAUCCCAAGUGACUCAAGAUCAGGAAGCAAAGUUCUCUGCUGUUUCUCAAGCAUUGCUCCUCUAAAAGUUGUGGAAAAGAACAACUAUUUUCCUUUAAAGUUUGUAUCAUCUUGUCCUCCUAUUUUGUCCUCCUGGACAUUUCAUCUUCAUUCCUUGAACAUUUCUUCUUUAUUCCUUGAGAAAAAUGGUCCUUGAUUCAAUCUUCUUUUUAAAAAAUUUUUUUAUUAUACUUUAAGCUCUGGGAUACAUGUGCAGAAUGUGCAGGUUUGUUACGUAGGUAUACACGUGCCAUGGUGGUUUGCUGCAACCAUCAACCCAUCAUCUACAUUAGGUAUUUCUCCUUGCUAUCCCUCCCCUAACCCCCAAUCCCGACAGGCCUCAGUGUGUGAUGUUCCCCUCCCUGUGUCCAUGUGUUCUCACUGUUCAACUCCCACUUAUGAGUGAGAACAUGUGGUGUUUGGUUUUCUGUUCCUGUGUUAGUUUGCUGAGAAUGAUGGUUUCCAGCUUCAUCCAUUUCCCUGCAAAGAACAUUAACUCAUCCUUUUUAAUGGCUGCAUAGUAUUCUAUGGUGUGUAUGUGCCACAUUUUCUUUAUCCAGUCUAUCACUGAUGGGCAUUUGGGUUGCUUCCAAGUUUUGCUAUUGUGAACAGUGCUGCAAUAAACAUACAUGUGUACGUGUCUCUACAGUAGAAUGAUUUACAGUCCUUUGGGUAUAUACUCAGUAAUGGGAUUGCUGGGCAAAAUGGUAUUUCUGGUUCUAGAUCCUUGAGGAAUCACCACACUGUCUUCCACAAUGGUUGAACUAAUUUACAAUCCCACCAACAGUGUAAAAGCAUGCUUAUUUCUCUAGCAUCUGUUGUUUCCUGACUUCUUGUUGUUGUUUUGUUUUUUCUUUGUCUUUUUUUUUUUUUGAGACGGAGUCUUGCUCUGUUGCCAAGCUGGAAUGCAGUGGUGCAAUCCUGGCUCACUGCAACCUCCACCUCCCAGGUUCAAGCGACUCCCCUGCCUCAGCCUCCCAAGUAGCUGGGACUACAGGUGCACGCAACCAUGCCCAGCUAAUUUUUUGUGUUUUAUUAGAGACGGGAUUUCACCAUGUUGGCCAGGAUGGUUUCAACCUCCUGACCUUGUGAUCUGCCCACCUCAGCCUCCCAUAGUGCUAGGAUUACAGGUGUGAGCCACCACGCCAGGCCUGUUUUCUGCCUUUUUAAUGAUCGCCAUUCUAACUGGAGUGAGAUGGUAUCUUGUGGUUUUGAUUUGCAUUUCUUUAAUGCCCAGUGAUGAUAAGCUUUUUUUCAUGUUUGUUGGCUGCAUAAAUGUCUUCUUUUGAGAAGUGUCUGUUCAUAUCCUUUGCCCACUUUUUGAUGGAGUUGUUUUUUUCUUGUAAAUUUGAUUCUGGAUUCAACCUUCUUUUAUACUUCAACUUCUGUCAUCAUCUUUUGUAACUUCAGCAUCCACUCAGCCUAUCUAAGAACCUAGCCCUCUUGACAAUUAUCCCUCUCCAGUAAUUGUACCUUUUACUCUAUCUCAGAUGCCCACUUCCACCAUCACACUCUGGACCCUUCUCCUUCCGCAUCAUAUGAACUGAAAACAUUCCCCUUUCAACCACAGUCUGCCAUCCUUCAACACUUCUUGCUUAGCUACUCCUCUCACAUCUCUUUCUUGAUAUCCUUGGGACUUUCAGUCCACUAACCUUUCUACUUCUCCUGCCCAUGAUCCCCUUUCUGGCUUCACUUCUCUCUUUAUUCAUUUCAUGAUCUACCAUUUAAAUAAAUCCUUGAAAAUACUCUAACACUUUUGCCUCUCUGUUUAUAUCCCAAACACAUUGAUUAACGGCUCUCUUCAGUUAUUUGUCCUUUUUUUAAAUCAAAUCAUUUGCAUUAGUAUUUAAACAUACCCAAGGCUCUCCUCACCUCAAAAACAUUCUCCCUAAACCCUUGCUUUCCAAAUACUGUUCUCUCUUUCUUCCUACUGUUAUAGCCAGAUUUGGUGAAAAAAUUGUCUAAAUGACUGCCACUCUUGUUUGGAUUCUAGCCCCUUCACAAUAUCCAAAUUAGCCCCUGAAUAGCUAUCUAUGACUUCCAUAUCCUAAAUCCAACACACAGUUUUUAAUAUUCAGAUUAUUCUUUCCAUCAGCAACAUCUGACAAAGCUGAUUAUUCCUUCAUGAACUUCAUGCUUGGCUUUCAUGAUCUCUUAUUGCCUCUUUCUUCCUACUUUACCUCUCUUUUCUCCAAUUUUUAAAUCUGGGGGUUCCUGAAGAUCUCUUCUCACCCAAGACAAUCAUGUACUCUCAUGUCUACUUCCAGAACUGCUUGUGUUGUGUUCACACAGAAGUGUAAGCGAGAGCCAGAUUUAAUGAAAUACAGACAUCUAAGAAAAUAGUAAGUACCCUCUAUGAUUAGAACUUAAGAAAAUUUAAGUUUUCACUGUGGUCCUGUGUUUUCUCCCAUCCCUUCACUUAUCUUAAAUAAUCCAGCAAGAAACUUACCUACUUAUUCAUCCCCACCAAACUGACCAGGGUCCAAAUUCCCUGGCCCUUUCUGACCCUCCAUUUUUUAACUGACAAAUGAUUAUCAUAAAUAAACAAAGACAGAAAUAAACAAAGAUAGAAGUAAAAAAAAAAUCACCAUAAACCUAAACCAUUCAUAAAUUGCUAUUAGGUAAACAUCCUGCAGGCAUCAUUCUAUGAAUAUAUACUAACAGAAAAAGGAAUAGAAAUACUUUUAUAAAAAUAGGAUCAAACUAUAGCUAUUUUACUUAAAAAUCCAUUUUACCUUACAUAAAUUUAUAGAAAAAAUGAAAUAAAAUGAAUAGUUGAACUUUACAUAAAUAUUUCUUCCUUGCUGAUUAUUUUCUAAAUAAUCCUUCUCUAAGUUAAAUAGGAGAGGGUUAGUCAUUUUUCUUAACUACAUUAGCAUAUUAGCAUUCUUACAUUUCUUCCCAUCUGCCCUAUGUCUGCCUUUCAGUUAAAAAAAAUCAAAUACAGUAUUUUUUAUACUGUCCAGAUUUAUAGCUAUGAUAGACAGACACUGUGAUGCACUGUCAAUCAAAUGUCAGUACGGUUUUGUUGUGAAUUGUGAGGACAUAAGAUGUGGGAGGGGCCAAGGGUGGAAUGAUAUGGUUUGGCUGUUUCUCCACCCAAGUCUCACCUUGAAUUGUAGUUGACAAUUGUAAUUGUCAAUAGAUAAUUCCCUAUGUAUCUACGAAGAGACUGUUGCCCUAGCUGUCAGGAGGGCUGUUGCAAGACAGUCUUCAAUGUCAGUCCCUUCAGGAACUGAUUCAACUGUAAAGAACUGCCUCACCCAAGGUCACCCUUUCAGGGGUGCCCAAGGCUAUGGGAGCCCAUCUCUUGCAUCAGCAUGACCUGGAUGUGAGACAUGGAAUCAAAGCAGAUCAUUUUGGAAUUUUAAGGUUCAAUGACUGCUCUAUUGGAUUUUGGACUUGGCAUGGGGCCUGUAGCCCCCUUUGUUCUGGCCAAUUCCCCCCACUUGGAACAGGUGUAUUUAUUCAAUGCCUGUACCCCCAUUGCAUCUAAGAAGUAACUAACUUGCUUUUUAUUUCACAGGCUCAUAGGUGGAAGGGACUUACCUCGUCUCAGAUGAGACUUUGGACUUAGACUUUUGACUUAAUGCUGGAAUGAGUUAAGACUUUGGGGUACUGUUGGGAAGGCAGGAUUUUGUUUUGAAAUGUGAGGACAUGAGAUUUGGGGGGGGCAGGGGCAGAAUGAUAUGGUUUGGCUGUUUCCCUACCCAAGUAUCACCUUGAAUUGUAGUUCCCAUAAUCCUGCCUCCAUGGGAGGAACCCUGUGGGACAUAAUUUAAUCAUGGGGGCAGUUACCCUCAUGCUGUUCUCAUAAGAGUAAGUUCGUUCUCAAGAGAUCUGAUGGUUUUAUAAGGGGCUUUCCCCCUUUUCCUUGACACUUCUCCUUGUUGCUGUCAUGCGGAGAAGGACAUGUUUGCUUCCCCUUCUGCCAUGAUUGUAAGUUUCAAGAUGCCUCCCCAGCCCUGUGGAACUGUGAGUCAAGUAAACCUCUUUCCUUUAUAAAUUACCCAGGCUUGGGUAUGUCUUUAUUGGCAUCAUGAGAACAGAUUAAUACAAGUGGCAACCAACAUGCAAUGACUGACUGAUGGGGGUAUAAAGGCCUGGCCAUCUCAGCCCAAAUGGGGACAACUCUGAAGGACUAUUUUAGUUCCAGAAUUCCCUGGGGGUUGGCUAAGACUGUCUUUGGGCAUGCACUGCAGCUUGACUUCUCUCUGCCCAAUCCUGCUUCCAUCUCCUCUUUUAUAAGUAUGAAUCCCAAGAGCACUCCUUAACAAACAUUUGGCACACUAAACUCCCUCUCAGAGUCUGCUUCCCAGGUAAUCGAAUCUGCAACACCUAUGGUGCCUUAGAUUCUUUCAGAAGUAGACAACUGUGUUAGUCAAUUCCCUGCUGUGUUAGGCCAUUCUUAUGUUGUUAUAAAGACAUACCUGGGCAAUUUAUAAAGAAAAGAGGUUUAAUUGGCUCAUAGUUCUGCAGGCUGUACAAGCAUGGUGCAGCAAUCUGCUCAGCUUCCGGGGAGGCCGCUGGGAGCUUUUACUCUCAGCAGAAGGUGAAAAUGGAAGCAGCAUGUCACAUGAAGAGAGCAAGAGUGACAGAGGGAGAGGGGGAGAUGCCACAGACCUUUAAACAAUCAGAUCUCAUGAGAAAUAAUUUACUAUCGUGUGGACGGCAGCAAGAGGAUGGUGCUAAAUUCGUGAGAAAUCUGCCCCCAGGAUCCAAUCACCUCCCACCAGGCUCCACCUCCAACAUUGGGGAUUACACUUCAACAUGUUCAACAUGAGAUUUGGAGGGGACAUCCAAACUAUAUUACCUGCUUCAUCUGAUUCUCGACCGCAGGGGUUAAUGUACUCCUUAGUCAGAAGAGCAAAUGUUUUAUCAGCCAGGGCAGAUUAUGCUACAGUAACAGAGAACUCCAAAUUCUCAGCAGCUUAAUUCAACAAUGGUUUACUUCCUCCUUAUACAACAUAUCGAUUUUGGAUUGGCAACAGAGGCUUCCUUCAAAGCUCAAAGAGACUCCAUUUCCACACACGCUUCCAUAGUAGUGAAAGCAUUAUUCUGAUUCUUAAAGGUUACGAGCAGAAGAUAAAAGCAGGUCACCUGGCCACACCUGAGUUCAACAGAGUGGGAAUCCAUGCUGCUUUUGCAGAGAGGAGCAACAGACCUUACCAAAGCAGGCUACAUGCCAGAGCUGACUCACAAGUCAUAGUUUGCAAACGCUGGUCAAAAGCAGUGAUUCACAAACUUUAAUGUAUAUCAGAAUCAUGUACAGUGCUUGUUAAAAUACAGAUUGCUGGGCCCUACCCUCACAGUUUUCAUUCAGAAAGUUUCGGAGAGGGACUGAGAAUCUGCACUUCUAUCAAGUUCCAAUGUGAUGAUGUUGUUGGUCCAGGAAUCAUACUUCAAGAACCAUUUGUCUACAGAAAAAAAACUUCACAGGUACGCCUGCAGCUCAUCUAUUAAUGUAGAGAACCUUAUUUCAAGAUGAAACACACCACAGCUUUGUCAAAUAUCAGUUUUCCUAAAAGGCAACUCAUCAAAAACCAUAUAUAUAAUAAUGAAAAUAAACCAGGAUUUAAUAGAGACUCCUAUAUUCUGAGAAUUGUCCAAUGUGUAGGUAGCAUCACUAUUAUUAUUGCUAGCCACUCUGAAGAGAUCAGGCUAAUUAAGUACUGUUUGUACAGGAAGGGUUGUGUGUAUGUUUGUGAGAGAAAGAAUAGAGUUUCAUUAUUAAUCAAUCAAUAAAUACAAUAAUAUUAACAAAUCUAAUAAGCUGAAAUUAGACAUAAAACCAGGAUGAAGAAAAAGGGAAAGGCUAUUUUAUGCAACUGUUACAGAGAGUAAUGUAGUACCAAAAAUGCAAGUGAAGAAAUUAAUUGGGGUUAUAUACUAAGAAAGAGUGCUAUCUGAACAAAGCUGAGUAUAUAAGAGUUCAAAUUAUGAGACGGAUAUAUACCAUGGUAGGAAGGAUAACUGAAAACAUUCUAGCUACUGAGUUUGGCAUAAGACAGUACUAAAGCAAGUAAAUAGUAAACCAUAUGGCUAUUUCACGAUUCUUAUUUGAAAACAACAGAAGCUAACUCUGACUCAUAAAGUGGAGUAGUAAUUUAUUAAAGGACUAGGGAUGAAUAAAGAACCAAGUUAACGGUUAAGCUUCUCAAGAAUGAAGUCUAAAAACCAUACUACAGAAUUGGUCAGGUGAGGAAAACCUGCUGCUGUUCUCACGGAUUCUUUUCUGCCAAGGACUUUCCUCUAUUGCAACUGUUAGUGGCCCAGCACCAAUACCAUCUCCGCAUCAGCAGAGCUAUUUUAUAACAAAAUUACUAUUGCCUCUGAACACCAGAUACCUCCACCAUCAACUUCAAGGACACAUGAUCUGAGUGCAGUGUCUGCUUCUUUGUUCAGCCUGUAUCGAGGUUUCUUGAAAAUGAGUAUGAGUGGCAGAGUCUAGGUCACACAGCUCCUGCCAUAUCUACCAGUAAGAUGGGGAAAGUCAAUUUUAUGGCUUACCUUAGGGAGGUAGACAUAGUUAUUCCCAGAUAGUUACUGAAAAGGUGGAAGAGAAAACAUAAUACAUGUCUGCCACAAAAUGUCAUAUCAAGCAUACAAAACUCACCUAAAAUUCACCAAUUUCUGUUCCUACCUAACUCCUUCCCCAGUAUAUACUAGCAUAAUUAGACAACAUCAGAGAUGGAUAGGCCUUUAGAGAUCACUUGGUCUAAUCCUCUCAUUUCACUAAUGAGAAACCUGAUGCCCAAAAUAAUCAGAUGAUUUACUUAGUUUACAUGGCUAGUCAGUAGAAAGAAAUUAUGCUUUUUAAACUCUUAGUAUAUUUUCUAUCAUGCAAUGAUCAAGACGGCACACUUCAAACUGUAUCUUUAAUGUUAAACUUUUUUUUUUUUUUUUUUGAGACGGAGUCUUGCUCUGUCAUCAGGGCUGGAGUACAGUGGCACGAUCUCAGCUCACUGCAAGCUCUGCCUCCCAGGUUCACACUAUUCUCCUGCCUCAGCCUCCCGAGUAGCUGGGACUACAGGCACCCGCAACCACGCCCAGCUAAUUUUUUGUAUUUUUAGUAGAGAUGGGGUUUCAUCGUGUUAGCCAGGAUGGUCUCAAUCUCCUGACCUCAUGAUCUGCCCGCCUUGGCCUCCCAAAGUGCUGGGAUUACAGGCCUGAGCCACUGUGCCCAGCCUUAAUGUUAAACUUUAAUCUUAUUCUCAGGGAAACUCACUGUUUAGUCCUCAGAAAGUCAUUUUGGUGACAUUGGUCUUUUUUUUCUCUCAAUCAGUUCCUGCAAAACUAGCUAUAAAGUUAAAUUUUAUACGCAAAAUUCUAUUUUCCUAUUAUUAUCUGUGAAAAAAACUGCAAGUUUAAAUGUGUUUUAAUGGUAGUUUGCAAGUUCUUUGGCUGGAUUAAAACUUUUCCUUACCAAAAGUUACAAUAAAAAUGACAACAAUAAUAAGUGAUUAUUCAAAAGCUACUAGAAGGCCUGGCAUGGUGCCUCAUGCCUGUAAUCCCAGCGUUUUGGGAGACUGAUGUGAGAGAACCGCUUCAGGCCAGGAGUUCAAGACUAGCCUGGAAAACACAGCAAUACCCCAUUUCUAAAAAAAAAAAAAAAAAAAAAUUAGCCAGGCCUGGUGGUGUGCACCUGUAGUCCUAGCUAUUCGAGAGGCUGAGGUGGGAGGAUUGCUUAAGCCCAGGAGUUUCAGGCUACAGUCAGCCAUGAUUGCACUACUACACCCCAGCCUGGGUGACCCUGACUUUUCCCAGAGUGAGACCUUGACUCUUGCCAGAGUGAGACCUUGACUCUGGGGAAAAAAGGCAACUAGAACAAAUGUUUAAUUAUGAGUGUAUCUCUUACAGAUAUAUUAUUGCAUAUUACAAAAAUUAGAGCCAAACUCACCCAAGUAAACUGCAAUCACAAGAUCUCCCCACAAAGUUAAUAUUAAAACUUAAGCAGAGAGAACAUUAUUAAUACUAUAAUAUAUAUAGAAUAUAUACAUUCUAUUGGUAUAUUUUAACGACUAAACAACUGAUAGCACAGAAACCAAAAGCAAUCAAUGAGAUUUUGAGAAGGUGGAGAAAGAAGGAAAGCAACAAAGAAGAACAGUUAAAUACAGGGUACUGAAUUUGAGAAGCAUGUCAACACAGAGAAAGGGCAGAAAGAAGAUGGAUAGUUUU